GACGAACGCUGGCGGCGUGCUUAACACAUGCAAGUCGAACGGAGCGAAAUGGAAGCUUGCUUCUAUGGAGCUUAGUGGCGAACGGGUGAGUAACGCGUAAUCAACCUGCCCUUCAGAGGGGGACAACAGUUGGAAACGACUGCUAAUACCGCAUACGAUUCAACUUCGGCAUCGAGGAUGAAUGAAAGGUGGCCUCUAUUUAUAAGCUAUCGCUGAAGGAGGGGAUUGCGUCUGAUUAGCUAGUUGGAGGGGUAACGGCCCACCAAGGCGAUGAUCAGUAGCCGGCCUGAGAGGGUGAACGGCCACAUUGGGACUGAGACACGGCCCAA
rnacentral:rRNA from 1 species